GAUAUAAACCAUCACCAUCUGAGCAUAAAAACAGACAGAUCUUCUCCGAACAGCUCAAUUCAGAAUGGUUUCAUUCAUCAGGGUUACGCCCCUUCAUGCGUCACAAAUGAACAUGAUAUGCAUCAGUUACAGUAAAUGGUCAAUCUUAAACCCCUAAAAUUAGACAGAGAGGUUCCUCUUUCUGUCACACCUUCCAUACAAGGCAAUAAGUUUCAAGCCUACAUGGUCCCUGAGGCGGAUGCUCUUCUUUAACUAAUCUCCUGUCAUCUGUAACCAAGUAGACUAAAAUGCAGUUAGAAGCUAAAUGAGUUUCAGGCCUUUGGCCUGGCAGGUUUAUGGGUUCUAUGUGUUUGUAAGCGUGUAUGUGGUUUGUCCUUCUAUGCUCCAAGUCACUUACACAACAGAUUGUCUGGACAUCGCGCCAAACAAAGCUUAAAACCUUCAAUAGACUGGGCAUCAACUCCUUCAUGAGCACAAUCGCAAUGUGUAUAAAAAUCAUUUCUACGUAUAUAAUCUUCAAUGUUAUUCAUUUGGGUAAGCAACACUUUUAACACCCUCUUAAGAAGCUCUCUCCUUCUGUCAUCUGAUCAUCUCAAGCACGUCCUGUACAAAACUUACUUCCUCUUUUCAAGCCCACAUACAAGCUCUACCACCUUUGCCCUAUAUGGCUGUCUCGACAUGUUUCCUAUCAACUUAUUCAUUGCAUGUCUAUCUUUACAACUUCUGCAUCACCAGUUCCUACACAAAGACAAAGCAAACUGUGUUUCACCUCUACCCUAGAAAUAAAUCUAUGUAAUAUCUGUAUGUGUAAGCCUGCAUUAUAACCACUUAUUCUAGAAAUCAGAAAGAAAUAAAACCUUUUCUAUUCCUAAAAUCUUCACUAGUUUUUCCCCAAAGCAUAUCUUUUAUUCAAAGUGUCCCGCAGUUUCCCUUUAAGUUUGGUAUACAGCUUCUUCUGAACACCGGCAUUUUAUCUUCUACACAGGAUUCAGUUCAUUUUAAUCCUUUAACUUAAACAUGAAAAUAACUAUUUCUGCCUCAGUUUUACCAUAUCUCAAUUAUCAAAAACCCCAAAAGUCAUAAAAUGAUCCUAAAACCCAUUUCAAAUUAAACCUUAAAUCCCCCCUUUUUGACACAUCUUAUGUGUCAAACUCACAAUGCUUCACCCGAGCUUAGGAAAUUAAAAAAAAAAGGUUAGUCAUAUCAUUUAUGUAAACCUUCAGUCUCCCCUCUGUUCUCUCUCCACCUCCUGCUCCGGCCAAAAGCAAAGCAUACCCUUUCUCUUCCUGGCAUGGUAAAUUGUUUGUCCACAUUUAUUCAUCCUAACCUUGGUCCAGUCACACACAUUCACUCACACACAUUCACACCAGAUAUUGCUGAUAGUGGAGAGCCCCGCGCAAAUAAUCAGAUUCUCCACCCCGUUAUUUUGGUACUUUACACGUCACACAGUCUCAAACAUUGCUUAUAUGGAAAGUUCCUCUUUUCUGUGUCUUAUCUAUUAAUAUGCCUGUGCACUAAAACUUCCUGUUUUUCAGUCUGGCUGAGCACUUAGUUUGUGAGUCAAAGGUGGCCUUGCUCUACAAGCCUUCAUUAUUAAAGUACAUAAAACAAUAUAAUAGGAAAAUAAGGAUACUAAGGAUAUUGAUUUCAUGACAGCAGCUAAAUUGGAAAGUUUGAAAAUUCAACUGGUUAAUGGAAUUUUUCAAACUAAUGGCUCCAGAUGUGCAAAUGUGUGAAAGCUUGUUAUCUGCUGCACUACAGAUAAACAUAGCUUUUAAACACGUUUUAAUUUUGAUGUGUUUUUGUGGUCGUGCGCUCAAUCAAUGUGUGUGUUUGUGCUUCAUGCAGCAGAAACACAUCAAAGAUUGUCAGGCUUUGCUCGCUGCUCCUUCAGGCUUCACUAUCAAAGAUAUAAUUAAGCUAAAGAACACCUACAAGCACUUUAUUAUCUCCACAUUUUCUUUUAUCUGGGCUGCUGCCUGGAUUCCUGCAGUUUGUUGUCGAGGAUGAAGAGCAGCGAGUCGGCUAGUGUUCAGCUAUAAUCCUGAAGUUUGGGAUAAUCCAGGUCCUCCGGGGCCGAGGGGAGGGAGGCAGGGAGGAGACCCAGAUUACUCUAUGGUGACAAAACUCCACAGAAGUCAGGAGAUGUUUUGGCUCAUUUGAGUGUCUGUGACAUUAUGAUGAAGAGAACAACAGGAGAGACUGAAACAGACCUCUGAAGAUCUGCUGAUCUGUUCUUAUGCCGGAAAUAUUCCUUUUAUGUCUUUCCUUAUUUUCCAUCAUGUACUGUUUCAGUUUGUGUGAGCCAACAGUUUAGGCUUCAGGCUGCUGUAAAUACUUUACUCUUGGUCUCCAUAUGACCAUCUCCGGUGCACAGCUGCACCCCUGCAAACAUGACUUAAGGACAGUGUGGCGUUAAAGGGGCAGGAAGUAAAACUGCAAAUGAGAUGAUGGUAAAAGAUCAGUGGGGAUUAAUUUGAAAUGUAAAUCAUGUAGCUACUCUCUUAGUGUCCAGGAAAAACAAAUAAGCCGAUACAGUUAUUGUGCAUUAAAGUGAUCAGCACGACCAACAAAGGUAAAUGCAGGAAAGAGGUGCUGUGUUUUGGUGCAGAACUCGGACAGUUCAUAUUCAUCACACGGCUAGCUGCUUGCCCGUGCAGCACUGUUAGUAAAUGGACUGGUUCUUAUAUUCACCCCUUCACACCCAUAGCAGCACUUGUUUCUGUGCUUCACUGCUAUCUAUGUAACAUUCACACACACUCACACUGCGAUGGAUGCAUUGGAGAGUAACUUGGGCUUAGUAUCUUGCGCAAGCAGACUAGAGCAGUCCGUGGUUGAACCAGCACUCUCAGAAAAAAUUAUGGUUCUUAAAUGGUUCUUCAGAUGUCUUCAUGGUAAUUUAAAGAACCAUCAUACGUCAAAGAACCUUUUUAUUUUUGUAGAUGGUUCUUUAGGUAUUGCAAAUGGUUGUUUAAAGAACAAAAGGUUCUUCAUCCUUAGCUAUCUAAGUUUGAUGGUGUAAAAUGGCAUAAAUAUUUAUUCACUAUAAUGAGGCUGUGAAUUAUACUGUGUGUUUUGUUUGUGUGCAUGUGUGUGCGAAGGGGGAGGGCGGGUUACCUGGCAAUUACCCUUUAAGAGCAGAUGGUAGGAAACUGAAUAUUCAAAUAAAAGAUAGAAAUACUUGCUUAAAAAUAUACUGGUGGCAGGGGUGGGGGCCAAAGCCUAAAGACCCUACCCCCAACACCCCUAACCCCGCAAACCCACUGAUCACAAAUAAUGUGAUAAUAGAAUAUGGAAUUUAUUAUUAAGACGUUUAUGAUUAUGGUGAGUUAACAAACAGUAGACACAAUGCACACAUUCAAAUACUGUACUUCAGUUUAAAAUUUUAAUAAAGUAUUACUAUUUUCUGCUUCAAGGCAUUACUUUUGAGAUUAUUAUAUAUAUUAGAAAAUAUAGCAUAAUGAUAAUACUAGUUAUUGUAAACUUUACAAACCACCCAGCAGUAUGUAAAGUCAAAUUAUAAAAUACAAGUAAAUAACAAUUGCACAACAGAAUGUCAAUGUGUUCAUUACCGACACACUUAUUUAGUUUUGACAAAGCGCACUGCUUAGGUAAAUGAUCUGAGUACUUGUUUAUCACUGAGCAAUUUGUUAAUAUGUGUUUCGAGCCAAAUAAAUGACAGAGCGAGAGAGUGACGUUAGAACACGUUGUACUAUGGCAACCUCCCGAAAGAGAGAGGGGGGGGGUCAAUCGUUGGGUUGCGCAUGCGCAGACAGAUUGCGCGACCGGCGGGCCUUGAACUUUUUAAGGGAAAAACACUUUCUCACGGCCGGUGACAGCGAAGCGGAUAACAGUCUUCAGUACCUGCUGGUCUUUGAAGCUCUGGAUUCUGGGACUGUUGGAAAAGGUAAAACAUUUUCAUUAAAACCUUUUUACUGUUUUGUUUUUGUUACUCGUCAUUGUAGCUAACUGUUAAUGCUGUGCUAACAAUAACGGUUAGCUAUGUUAGAUACGUUAGCCGUUGAUGUUAACGCAAUUUAGUAUCCGGUAUACAGAAACUGUUUUCCUAACAAAACCACUGUUAUAAUUAAGUGAAGGUGCUCCCAACUAAUUUGAACCUUUGGCUUCUAAAAUAUGUGGUUCUAUUGCGUGCGGCGUACAUAACGUAAUGUCAGCUAGACUGAUUAAAAUUUAUAAUAUUGUUAAUGUCACUAAAAUGGCACCUGAAGCCUGUUGUGAUGUGAGCUCUGUGUCUGCUCUAGAAACUCUGAAAUUCAGUAGAUCUGAGCCGUACAUUAAAUACUCACAUCAGCCUGUACUUUGCAUUCUGUAAGAGCUGUAUAAAACACAGCAAUGCAUAAGUGUUUUGAAUGAAUAGAAAUGUGACACAUUAGAAGAUGUGUCUGUGACUGUUCCUGUGUAACUUAUUUUCAGACUAGUUGACAAGUUAUGCUCCGGUCAUUUGAUGUUACCAAGAUAAUGUCCUUUUGUAAUAUAGUUAAAUUUUCUUUGUACAUUUCAUUUAUCCACCAUCGUACAUUAAGCCAAGAAGAGGUCAUUAUACUAACAAGAGGUAUCAACACUGGGCCAAAGUUCAGCACGUGGUUAAAGUUUGUAAUCCAGCCAGGCUGUGAAUAUCGCUCAGCAGCCAGUCAUAGAGCUGAAGCAGGUAACAUCAACACAUAAAUCUACUCUACCUGGCUUAAAUCACAAGACCACCUCUGACCGAAAAGCUGUAGAUUUUUCUUGUUUGCACAAAUUAAUUCAGAUUCACACUAACUCUUUUCACAGCUCCAACAAAAUGAGGAAGAGGAGGGAGAAAAACAAUUAGAUUGAAUUACAAUUGGAUGGAAGUCGAGGACAAGGAGGAGGAAGCUUAGGAUGAGGAGGAAGAAAAGCAGCAGGAGCAUCUUUAGGGAUCUCUAUGACGUCAUUGAGAGGCGGCGGCGAGAGGGGAGACCUCGGCUCAUCCAGCUGGACAGCCUGACCAGGAGGAGUCGAACAUUAACUCGGCUCUUCCAGGGCACCCUGCAGACUCGGCUGCUGGCAACACUGGGAUGACGUGAACGCCAAACAGGAGUCCAUCACAGGUCGACUGCAGCUCCUUGUCUCAGAGUGGGAGGGAUUUGAAGCACAAAGGGAGGAGCUUGUCAUUUGGUUGGCUGAUAUGGAUGUCCGCCUGAGUGAGGUUGACCAGCUGACAGGAAACACCUGUGAAAAACUGAAACAACUGCAGGUGUGGGGUUGUUUUUGAUAUGACAUAUAUUUGAUAUGAUACAUACGUGAGAGACAUUAUCCUAAACUGGACUAACAAAGAACCAGGAGUCCAACAUGAAACUUGCCUUACAUAACGCUGAAGUUCAUUGAUCAUUUUAAUCAUAAACUUGUUGUUGAAAUAUUUUUACUGAACAUGCAAACAUCUGCUGAUGAAAAUGUGUUGAUUUAUUGGUCUGUUAUGAAGCUAUUGCUAUUUCUAAUGUGUUUUUAUCACUUUCUGAUGUUUUAUUAAUUAAACAAUACAUGUAUUAAUUUUUGUUUUAUCUAUAGAUAUAGUAUUUAUAUAUAUUUGUUUAUAGUAUAGUAAAAAUGUUUAAUUAUUACUGUUUAAAUGACUAAUAUGUGACAUGUAUUAGUAGUGAUGUUGUGCUGAGGGUUAAAAUGCCUUUUUGUCUUUUGGUAUACUACGAAAUGGCAAUAAACCAUUAAUAUAUGUC